rnacentral:rRNA from 1 species
GUGCAGCAGGCGAGAAAACUUCACAAUGUGCGAAAGCACGAUGAGGGAAUCCCAAGUGCUUGCACGUAAGUGUAAGCUGUUUCUCUGUCUAAAACGCAGAGAGAGUAAGGGCUGGGUAAGACGGGUGCCAGCCGCCGCGGUAAUACCUGCAGCUCGGGUGGUGACCGUUAUUAUUGGGCCUAAAACGUCCGUAGCCGGUUUAAUAAAUGCCUGGGUAAAUCGGACCGCUUAACGGUUCGAAUUCCGGGUAGACUGUUAAACUUGAGACCGGGAGAAGUUAGAGGUACUCCUGGGGUAGAGGUGAAAUUCUGUAAUCCUAGGGGGACCACCAGUGGCGAAGGCGUCUAACUAGAACGGGUCUGACGGUGAGGGACGAAGCCCUGGGGCGCAAACGGGGAUUAGAUACCCCUGUAGU